rnacentral:rRNA from 1 species
GACGAAGGUGGCGAGCGUUGUUCGGAAUCACUGGGCGUAAAGCGCACGUAGGCGGCGACGUAAGUUGGGUGUGAAAUCCCUCGGCCCAACCGAGGAACUGCGCCCAGUACUGCGUUGCUUGAGGAUCCAAGGGGUGCAUGGAAUUCCCGGUGGAGCGGUGAAAUGCGUUGAUAUCGGGAGGAACUCCGGCGGCGAAAGCGGUGCACUGGUGGAUUACUGACGCUGAGGUGCGAAAGCCAGGGGAGCAAACGGG